GUGCAGUCGGCCUUUAGAGUUUUGACGGAAGGGACGGCGCGAAAGUCUGUUGAAAUAAAAAGUGUUUCUCGCCUUCCUCUCUGUCAUUUUUUCAUAAUAAUGAACUGGCCAGCGUCAUCUCACAUGACCCUCGGGUGCCGUGAAUGUCAAUCAAGCAAGCUACGGAAUUUGCCGCCAAUGUUUUUCUUGUAAAGUGUAUGGAAGCUGGAUGAAUUAGAUGCCAAAAACCAACCACUUUCAUGUGGUAUUGUACAGAAAGGACAACUUUUUUUCUCCUCCAUUUGAAAAUGUGGGCGUUAUCCUCAUUACUGUCUGAUUCCAAUCAAUGCAAGUCAUCAGAAUCAGGUAAUACACCAACUUAUAUUCUUGUCUUUGUGAAAGAAAGACAUCUAUAUGUGUUACACAUGCUUGUAUUAUCAUUAAACACAUUUAACUUGUUUACAAAAAUGUCUCUUUCAUAAAUAAAUAAAUAUAAAUGAUAUAUAUAAAUGAGGUAGAUCCCCUCGAGUUGGUCAAUUGAAAAGUAGCUCGCCUGCAGAAAAAGUGUGGGCACCCCUGCUCAAAUCAAAAUGAUAAUGCUAAUGUUGGCCAUCAGAAAUAAAUAAUCACCAGCUUGAUAGUUCCUACUUCCUUCGGAAAAACUUUCCCGCCUGUCUGUCUUCGCUUCGAACCUGCAUCCGCCCCGAUAGAGAUCUUGGCAAUAGCGUCGGGUUUGUAGCGCAAUCCAAGAUCGUUUCUUGAUAGUGUCUGCCAUUCAACAUCAGCAUAGCCAUUAGAGACAGAAUAUUUAUGCAAUACAGCACCUCCAAGUCAGAGUCCAUGGUUCUCGCCCGGAAAAGGGUGGUAAGGGAGGAGAUCUUGCCCCAAGUGGAGGAGUUUAAGUACCUCGGAGUCUUGUUCACGAGUGAGGGAAGAGUGGAUGGUGAGAUCGGUGCGGCGUCUUCAGUAAUGCGGACGCUGUAUCGAUCCGUAGUGGUGAAGAAGGAGCUGAGCCGGAAGGCAAAGCUCUCAAUUUACCGGUCGAUCUACGUUCCCAUCCUCACCUAUGGUCAUGAGCUUUGGGUCAUGACCGAAAGGACAAGAUCACGGGUACAAGCGGCCAAAAUGAGUUUCCUCCACCGGGUGUUGGGGUUCUCCCUCAGAGAUAGGUUGAGAAGCUCUGUCAUCCGAGAGGAACUCAAAGUAAGUGUUUGAUGAGCAUUCCUCAACUUUAUCAGUAUUUAUUGCCACCUUUCCCAACUUCUUUGUCACGUGUUGCUGGCAUCAAAUUCUAAACUUAAUGAUUAUUUGGAACAACAAAAAAUGUUUAUCAGUUUGAACAUCAAAUAUGUUGUCUUUGUAGCAUAUUCAACUGAAUAUGUGUUGAAAAGGAUUCGCAAAUCAUUGUAUUCUGUUUAUAUUUACAUCUAACACAAUUUCCCAACUGGGUUUGUAGAUGGUUUGUAGUAAAUGUUUCUUUAAAUAUGCUAAAACAGGGGUAGGGAACCUACGGCUCCAGAACCAGAUGUGGCUCUUUUGAUGACUGCAUCUGGCUCUCAGAUAAAAAUCUUAGCUGACAUUGCUUAACACGAUAAGUAAUGAAUAAUUCCGCUGGUAAUCAGUGUUAAAAAUAACGUUCAAAAUUAAAAACCUAUCUAAUGCGUUUUAAUCCAUCCAUCCAGGAAGUCGCAUUAAUGGUUAGAAGUUUUUUUUAAAUUUAUUAUAAGUUAGCUUCAGAAUAACAAUGAUUAUACUCUAAAAAUGUUAGUCUUACUUACAAAUGCACACAUUUAGUUGUAUUCAUUGUUAAAAAAUAUUAGCUAAAUAUAAACUAAUUUUCCUGUAAGAAAUAAUGGAAAUCAAAUUAUUCUGUUACAUACACACAAAAAUAUCAAUACAACACACAUUUUAGAGGUAAUAAUCAUAUUUUUACAUUCAAAAAACAAUGUAAAAUUCAUUUAAAUUUUACAUUCAGAAAACAAUGUAAAAUUCAUGUAAAUUAUGAGGUCUCGUUUACUUUGACGAUUCGUGUUGGCGAAGACAGUUACAUUUGGUUGUAUUCAUUGUUAAAAAAUAUUAGCUAAAUAUAAGCUAAUUUUCCUGUAAGAAAUAAUGGAAAUCUAAUUAUUCUGUUACAUACACACAAAAAUAUGAAUACUACACACAUUUUAGAGGUAAUAAUCAUAUUUUUACAUUCAAAAAACAAUCGUAAAAUUCAUAUAAAUUUUACAUUCAGAAAACAAUGUAAAAUUCAUGUAAAUUAUGAGGUCUCGUUUACUUUGACGAUUCGUGAUGGCAACAUUUGGUUGUAUUCAUUGUUAAAAAAUAUUAGCUAAAUAUAAGCUAAUUUUCCUGUAAGAAAUAAUGGAAAUCUAAUUAUUCUGUUACAUACACACAAAAAUAUCAAUACAACACACAUUUUAGAGGUAAUAAUCACAUUUUUACAUUCAAAAAACAAUCGUAAAAUUCAUAUAAAUUUUACAUUCAGAAAACAAUGUAAAAUUCAUGUAAAUUAUGAGGUCUCGUUUACUUUGACGAUUCGUGUUGGCGAAGACAGUUACAUUUGGUUGUAUUCAUUGUUAAAAAACAUUAGCUAAAUAUAAGCUAAUUUUCCUGUAAGAAAUAAUGGAAAUCUAAUUAUUCUGUUACACACACACAAAAAUAUCAAUACAACACACAUUUUAGAGGUAAUAAUCACAUUUUUACAUUCAAAAAACAAUCGUAAAAUUCAUAUAAAUUUUACAUUCAGAAAACAAUGUAAAAUUCAUGUAAAUUAUGAGGUCUCGUUUACUUUGACGAUUCGUGUUGGCAACAUUUGGUUGUAUUCAUUGUUAAAAAAUAUUAGCUAAAUAUAAGCUAAGAAAUAAUGGAAAUCUAAUUACAAAAAUGUCAAUACAACACACAUUUUAGAGGUAAUAAUCACAUUUUUACAUUAAAAAAACAAUCGUAAAAUUCAUAUAAAUUUUACAUUCAGAAAACAAUGUAAAAUUCAUGUAAAUUAUGAGGUCUCGUUUACUUUGACGAUUCGUGUUGGCGAAGACAGUUACAUUUAGUUGUAUUCAUUGUUAAAAAAUAUUAGCUAAAUAUAAGCUAAUUUUCCUGUAAGAAAUAAUGGAAAUCUAAUUAUUCUGUUACAUACACACAAAAAUAUCAAUACAACACACAUUUUAGAGGUAAUAAUCAUAUUUUUACAUUCCAAAAACAAUUGUAAAAUUCAUAUAAAUUUUACAUCCAGAAAACAAUGUAAAAUUCAUGUAAAUUAUGAGGUCUCGUUUACUUUGACGAUUCGUGUUGGCAACAUUUGGUUGUAUUCAUUGUUAAAAAAUAUUAGCUAAAUAUAAGCUAAGAAAUAAUGGAAAUCUAAUUACAAAAAUAUCAAUACAACACACAUUUUAGAGGUAAUAAUCACAUUUUUACAUUCAAAAAACAAUCGUAAAAUUCAUUUAAAUUUUACAUUCAGAAAACAAUGUAAAAUUCAUGUAAAUUAUUAGGUCUCGUUUACUUUGACGAUUCGUGUUGGCAACAUUUGGUUGUAUUCAUUGUUAAAAAAUAUUAGCUAAAUAUAAACAAAUUUUCCUGUACGAAAUAAUGGAAAUCUAAUUAUUCUGUUACAUACACACAAAAAUAUCAAUACAACACACAUUUUAGAGGUAAUAAUCAUAUUUUUACAUUCCAAAAACAAUUGUAAAAUUCAUAUAAAUUUUACAUCCAGAAAACAAUGUAAAAUUCAUGUAAAUUAUGAGGUCUCGUUUACUUUGACGAUUCGUGUUGGCAACAUUUGGUUGUAUUCAUUGUUAAAAAAUAUUAGCUAAAUAUAAGCUAAGAAAUAAUGGAAAUCUAAUUACAAAAAUAUCAAUACAACACACAUUUUAGAGGUAAUAAUCACAUUUUUACAUUCAAAAAACAAUCGUAAAAUUCAUAUAAAUUUUACAUUCAGAAAACAAUGUAAAAUUCAUGUAAAUUAUGAGGUCUCGUUUACUUUGACGAUUCGUGUUGGCGAAGACAGUUACAUUUAGUUGUAUUCAUUGUUAAAAAAUAUUAGCUAAAUAUAAGCUAAUUUUCCUGUAAGAAAUAAUGGAAAUCUAAUUAUUCUGUUACAUACACACAAAAAUAUCAAUACAACACACAUUUUAGAGGUAAUAAUCAUAUUUUUACAUUCCAAAAACAAUUGUAAAAUUCAUAUAAAUUUUACAUCCAGAAAACAAUGUAAAAUUCAUGUAAAUUAUGAGGUCUCGUUUACUUUGACGAUUCGUGUUGGCAACAUUUGGUUGUAUUCAUUGUUAAAAAAUAUUAGCUAAAUAUAAGCUAAGAAAUAAUGGAAAUCUAAUUACAAAAAUAUCAAUACAACACACAUUUUAGAGGUAAUAAUCACAUUUUUACAUUCAAAAAACAAUCGUAAAAUUCAUUUAAAUUUUACAUUCAGAAAACAAUGUAAAAUUCAUGUAAAUUAUUAGGUCUCGUUUACUUUGACGAUUCGUGUUGGCAACAUUUGGUUGUAUUCAUUGUUAAAAAAUAUUAGCUAAAUAUAAACAAAUUUUCCUGUACGAAAUAAUGGAAAUCUAAUUAUUCUGUUACAUACACACAAAAAUAUCAAUACAACACACAUUUUAGAGGUAAUAAUCAUAUUUUUACAUUCCAAAAACAAUUGUAAAAUUCAUAUAAAUUUUACAUCCAGAAAACAAUGUAAAAUUCAUGUAAAUUAUGAGGUCUCGUUUACUUUGACGAUUCGUGUUGGCAACAUUUGGUUGUAUUCAUUGUUAAAAAAUAUUAGCUAAAUAUAAGCUAAGAAAUAAUGGAAAUCUAAUUACAAAAAUAUCAAUACAACACACAUUUUAGAGGUAAUAAUCAUAUUUUUACAUUCAGAAAACAAUGUAAAAUUCAUGUAAAUUAUGAGGUCUCGUUUACUUUGACGAUUUGUGUUGGCGAAGACAGUUACAUUUGGUUGUAUUCAUUGUUAAAAAACAUUAGCUAAAUAUAAGCUAAUUUUCCUGUAAGAAAUAAUGGAAAUCUAAUUAUUCUGUUACAUACACACAAAAAUAUCAAUACAACACACAUUUUAGAGGUAAUAAUCAUAUUUUUACAUUCAAAAAACAAUGUAAAAUUCAUUUAAAUUUUACAUUCAGAAAACAAUGUAAAAUUCAUGUAAAUUAUUAGGUCUCGUUUACUUUGACGAUUCGUGUUGGCAAAUUCAUUGUUAAAAAAUAUUGGUAACACUUAAGUAUGGGGAACACAUUCUAAGUAACAAAGACUUAAUUAAGACUUAUUUGGACACUAGGGGAACAUAUAAGGGUUACUAAUAGGCAAUAAUUCUGAGGUUAUUGAGGGAAGACUCUUAAUUAAUGACUUACUGUUUGUAUAAUAAGCCUGGGAACGCCUCGGGAUCCCCCGGGAAGAGCUAGACGACGUGGCUGGGGAGAGGGAAGUCUGGGUUCCCCUGCUUAGGCUGUUGCCCCCGCGACUCGACCUCGGAUAAGCGGAAGAUGAUGGAUGGAUGGAUGUUUGUAUAAUAAGGCCAUGCAGAAUAACGCCUUAAUAAAUACGUAAUAAUGACUAAUUAAGAGCCAAUAUGUUACUAAUUUGCAUGUUAAUAAGCAACUCAUUAAUGGUGACUAUGUUCGCCAUACUAAAGUGUUACCAAAAUAUUAUGUGGCUCUCAUGGAAAUACAUUUUAAAAUAUUUGGCUUUCAUGUCUCUCUCAGCCAAAAAGGUUCCCGACCCCCGUGCUAAAAAGACCUCAAAAGGGGAGUUUAGAAAAGAUGAAGCAUUUGAAGCCCUGAACUUGAUCAGUAAAUGUGCAAAGUCAGUAUUUUUUUUUUUUUAACUAAAUGACAAUGUUUUAAGGGAUUGAAAACACAGAAAAAAAAAUGCAAUAACACAAUUCGUUGGACAGAUAUCAAUAUCAAUUCUAACUUAUCAUUCGAUUUUUUUUCAUGCCUCCUUUACCUCAGAUAUUCCACUAAAAAUGUGUGAUAAUAGUCCGCAUGCAGGCGAUUUCAACUGCAUUUAAAAGCUUUCAUUUGCAUUUCGCUGCACAAAACAAAAACGAUCAACACUGUGAGAGCACACACACACACACACACACACACACACACACACGAACACACACACAUCCACGCAAUACAAAAAAGACACCAGCACAACGUCCAAGAUAAAGCAGGCGUGCAGACAGGUAGCAAAAGGCAAGAUAACAGCAAUGUGGUUUUCUUUGCUCUGCUUCAUGACCCAAGGUGACCCUAAAGUAUCCCGAUCAAACCCCGACGUGGCGGCACAACGGGAAGCUUUAGGAAAAAUGAACCUGUAGCAAUACUCGCUUGCACUUAUGUGAAAUGCAAUAAAAAAACAAACGUAUAUAUUCAUUGUUUUUAGGAGUCCUGUGUAGAAACAUUGGUGUACAUUUAGAUUAUUUAGGACGGUGACAAAAAGAUGUAAAUGUGGCGGCUUCGAAAUUGUUGAAUUCUUAUAGAAAUGUGCACAGAAUCAUUAAACUCUGUUUAGGAUUCUA